rnacentral:lncRNA from 1 species
GACGAUGACAGCCACUGAAACAACAACCGGUGAAUUGAUGGAUUCAAUCAAAAUCGAUGGACAGGAAAGGGGAUAAAGCACCAGAAACUUCACUCGCUCAACAGUUCCUUAAAUUUGCGUCGACUGUAGCCGAAUUCAAUCUUCAAACAUUUCCAAACUAUACAUAAUUGCUUGGGAAUGCUGUACUCAACCACCGAUUCUUCCAUCAUCAUACCUCAACAGUCCAUCGGAUUUUGACUAAUCGGUAGCUUCCAGCUCCUAUUCCACCUCCAUCGACGAGGGUUUUUCUACCUCUCUCUAUAGUCGAUCGUUGCCAACGUCGCUCAAUUGGGUUCAGCUACUAAGGGUAAGCUUGGUUUUUUUUCUCGAUUUUACACUGAUUUCUGCUACUUUGAUGAUCUGCUUCUCGUUAUCAAGAAGAAUGGUCUGCUUUUAGAGGAUGUAUCGAGAAUUAAAUAUAAAAAAGAAAAGUAUGUCGCUUUUUUACAUCAGAAUAUACACAGUUUCCUUCAAUCAGCUGCUUUCCUUUGAUGAUCUGUUUAACAUAAUAUUGCUACAGGGGUUUGAAGUUAUAAGUGAUGCUUGAUGCCCUUUUUGUUAAGGGUAAAUGUGUCAAUAUUGAAUUAAGUAGAAACUCGAGGGCUGAUGCACACUUGGUCAUAUUGUGAAGGGUAAAUAUGUCAAUAUUGAGUGUAGUAUAAAGUGUAGGUGUGAGGGGUGCAAAUGAGCCAAGCUACUCGCGAGCUAUUCGGGAUCGGUUCGUUAAAAGCUCGACUCGAAACCGAUUUUAAACGAGCCCGAGCCGAGCUCGAGCUUAAUAUUUAGCUCGUUUAUAAAACGAGCUCGAGCUCGAGCCUCUGUAACUAAGCUCGAUUAGGCUUGCGAGCCUAAACGAGCCUUUAUAAAAUAUAAUUUAUUAUUAUUUUCUUAUAUUAAUAUAAAAACAUAUUUGGGAAAUUAUGGAUUUCGGUUAUUAGUAAACGAGCUUCUUAACGAGCUUGAGCCGAACUUAAGCUUAUUUAGACACAUCACACGAAAAACGAGCCGAGCCCCAAGCCCGAGCCGAGCU